rnacentral:sRNA from 1 species
AGCUGCUGAGGAAGGAGAGCAGACCCAGGAGAGCCAUGAAGCCUAGGAAAGCUGAGCCUCAUAGCUUCCGGGAGAAGGUUUUCCGGAAGAAACCUCCAGUCUGUGCAGUAUGUAAGGUGACCAUCGAUGGGACAGGCGUUUCGUGCAGAGGUGAGGCGCUCUGUCCUGUGACUCUGAGACCCUCCACCCAGUACCACUGUGUUGCACAACUCCAGCAGGCCAGCUCACACAAUCUCAAAUGUAAUAUGCUGCUCCUGGAUUAGGCACAAUGGCAGCUAAGCAGCAGCUGCCUCCCCCUUCAGAUGGCCUGGCUCCCCAUGACAGACACCCCCCACAACCCAGGAGAGCCAGUACUCUCCACCACCUUCCCAUCCUGACUUGUGACGGUAGUCUUCCUUCCCUCUCUUCCUCCUCACCUCCACCCACCCUGGAAUGUUACCCCUGGCCUGGGCAGUAGUACCCCACUGCCACACUCUUCCCUCAAAACCUAGCCCUGCUCCUCUGCCCCAGCCAGCCCAGUCCAGGUGGGAUCCUGGAAGUCCCAGGGUCUGGUUCCAG